rnacentral:rRNA from 1 species
CCGUAAACGGUGGAUGCUGGAUGUGGGCACUAUUCCACGGUCUCCGUGUCGGAGCCAACGCGUUAAGCAUCCCGCCUGGGGAGUACGGCCGCAAGGCUAAAACUCAAAGAAAUUGACGGGGGCCCGCACAAGCGGCGGAGCAUGCGGAUUAAUUCGAUGCAACGCGAAGAACCUUACCUGGGCUUGACAUGUUCCCGACAGCCGUAGAGAUACGGUCUCCCUUCGGGGCGGGUUCACAGGUGGUGCAUGGUCGUCGUCAGCUCGUGUCGUGAGAUGUUGGGUUAAGUCCCGCAACGAGCGCAACCCUCGCCCUGUGUUGCCAGCACGUCGUGGUGGGAACUCACGGGGGACCGCCGGGGUCAACUCGGAGGAAGGUGGGGAUGACGUCAGAUCAUCAUGCCCCUUACGUCCAGGGCUUCACGCAUGCUACAAUGGCCGGUACAACGGGAUGCGACACCGCGAGGUGGAGCGGAUCCCUUAAAACCGGUCUCAGUUCGGAUUGGAGUCUGCAACCCGACUCCAUGAAGGCGGAGUCGCUAGUAAUCGCGGAUCAGCAACGCCGCGGUGAAUGCGUUCCCGGGCCUUGUACACACCGCCCGUCAAGUCAUGAAAGUGGGUAGCACCCGAAGCCGGUGGCCCAACCUUUUUGGGGGGAGCCGUCUAAGGUGAGACUCGUGAUUGGGACUAAGUCGUAACAAGGUAGCCGUACCGGAAGGUGCGGCUG